UAGCUAGUUGGUGAGGUAAAGGCUUACCAAGGCGACGAUCUGUAGCGGGUCUGAGAGGAUGAUCCGCCACACUGGAACUGAGACACGGUCCAGACUCCUACGGGAGGCAGCAGUGGGGAAUUUUGGACAAUGGGGGCAACCCUGAUCCAGCCAUGCCGCGUGAGUGAAGAAGGCCUUCGGGUUGUAAAGCUCUUUCGGCCGGGAAGAAAUCGCAUGGGCCAAUACCCUGUGUGGAUGACGGUACCGGAAUAAGAAGCACCGGCUAACUACGUGCCAGCAGCCGCGGUAAUACGUAGGGUGCGAGCGUUAAUCGGAAUUACUGGGCGUAAAGCGUGCGCAGGCGGUUUUGUAAGACAGGCGUGAAAUCCCCGGGCUUAACCUGGGAACUGCGUUUGUGACUGCAAGGCUAGAGUACGGCAGAGGGGGGUGGAAUUCCACGUGUAGCAGUGAAAUGCGUAGAGAUGUGGAGGAACACCAAUGGCGAAGGCAGCCCCCUGGGUCGAUACUGACGCUCAUGCACGAAAGCGUGGGUAGCAAACAGGAUUAGAUACCCUGGUAGUCCACGCCCUAAACUAUGUCAACUAGGUGUUGGGUGGGUAAAACCAUUUAGUACCGUAGCUAACGCGUGAAGUUGACCGCCUGGGGAGUACGGCCGCAAGGUUAAAACUCAAAGGAAUUGACGGGGACCCGCACAAGCGGUGGAUGAUGUGGAUUAAUUCGAUGCAACGCGAAAAACCUUACCUACCCUUGACAUGCCAGGAACUUGCCAGAGAUGGCUUGGUGCCCGAAAGGGAGCCUGGACACAGGUGCUGCAUGGCUGUCGUCAGCUCGUGUCGUGAGAUGUUGGGUUAAGUCCCGCAACGAGCGCAACCCUUGUCGUUAAUUGCCAUCAUUUAGUUGGGCACUUUAACGAGACUGCCGGUGACAAACCGGAGGAAGGUGGGGAUGACGUCAAGUCCUCAUGGCCCUUAUGGGUAGGGCUUCACACGUCAUACAAUGGUCGGUACAAAGGGUUGCCAAGCCGCGAGGCGGAGCCAGUCCCAGAAAGCCGAUCGUAGUCCGGAUUGCAGGCUGCAACUCGCCUGCAUGAAGUCGGAAUCGCUAGUAAUCGUGAUCAGCAUGUCACGGUGAAUACGUUCCCGGGUCUUGUACACACCGCCCGUCACACCAUGGGAGCGGGUUCCGCCAGAAGUAGGUAGCCUAACCGCAAGGGGGGCGCUUACCACGGCGGGGUUCGUGACUGGGGUGAAGUCGUAACAAGGUAGCCGUAGGGGAACCUGCGGCUG
rnacentral:rRNA from 1 species